GACGAACGCUGGCGGCGUGCCUAAUACAUGCAAGUCGAACGCAGUGGGAACGGUUGCGUAACACGUGGGUAACCUCCCCAUCAGAGGGGAUAACACUUAGAAACAGGUGCUAACCCGAUACGGGUGGAUGGACCUGCGUUGCAUUAGCUCGUUGGUGAGGUAACGGCUAACCAAGGCCACGAUGCAUAGCCGGCCUGAGAGGGUGAGCGGCCACACUGGGACUGAGACACGGCCCAGACUCCUACGGGAGGCAGCAGUAGGGAAUCUUCGGCAAUGGACGAAAGUCUGAUCGAGCAAUGCCGCGUGAGUGAAGAAGGUUUUCGGAUCGUAAAACUCUGUGGGUAGAGAAGCGGUAUCUAACCAGAAAGCCACGGCUAACUCCGUGCCAGCAGCCGCGGUAAUAC
rnacentral:rRNA from 1 species